GAUGAAGAACGCAGCGAAAUGCGAUAAGUAAUGUGAAUUGCAGAAUUCAGUGAAUCAUCGAGUCUUUGAACGCACAUUGCGCCCUUUGGCAUUCCGAAGGGCAUGCCUGUUCGAGCGUCAUUUAUCAACCCUCAAGCCCGGCUUGCGGUUGGGUCCCGCCGUGGGCGACCACGGCGGACCCGAAAGGUAAUGGCGGUGCCCGUGGGGCCCUGGACGCAGCGAGCUUCUCGGCACGCGUCCCGGCGGUCCCCGGCGCCGUCUCCACCAAUCCACCACGCAGAUUGACCUCGGAUCAGGUAGGGAUACCCGCUGAACUUAAGCAUAUCAAUAAGCGGAGGA
rnacentral:misc_RNA from 1 species